rnacentral:misc_RNA from 1 species
UAUAUAUAUAUAUGAGAAAUCCAUUAUUUUAAGUCUAAAAGGUCCUCCGUACUAGCAGUAAAGCACAUGAGUUCCCCAACAUGAACCAGGAUAUGGCAUGUGCACUUUCUGGAUCAUGCAGCCCCAAGACACACAUGCUGUUGUCUGUCCUUGACCCCUUCAAAGAUUUCUCUAGAAAUCCAAUCUCUACAUGAUGAUUCUUGAUAGUGAUUACAUGACAACUUAAGAGUUAAUCAUUAGGAAUUUGUUGGUUCAUUUCAAUGGUGGACCCACAUACUUAGGUGGGUUGAUAAAACGUCAUAUAUAUAUAUAUAUAUUCAAAUUAAGAGUAAUUCCUAAUGCAGAUUAUGACAAGAAUGCCCAGCUAACUAGCAUCAACAGCCACUUAUCUAGUGGGACCAAUGACACUAGAUAAUGAAAACAAAGGAAAGGGACAAUCACAUAGACUACAGAUUCAUGAAAGUGAACAUAUCAAGCUUUCAUCUGCAAUCUUGUUCUUACUAAAAUCUAAUCUCCACCCUUUACACUGUCCUGCACUAGCACCCAUUUUCCUUUUUCAACAUGAAUUUGAUUGAUAUUUGAAUAUUUGUCAUGGUACCUAAUGAUAAGCCCCACUGCACUUAGCACUUCAUAUUUUAAAGUCGUCUGCUUGUGUGCACAUGAGCACCAGCCAAAUGGAACUAUCUUAAUUUCAACAACAUUUAGUUUGAUGAUUCUAUAAUUGCAAAGUGCAAGUUCAUUCUAUUAGCUUCCUUGAAUUGAUAUCACAUUUAAACUAAACACACCUUUGUCACAUUAAUUUCUUUUGUAAAAAUAGGAUCCAUAAAUAGACAUCUUAGCCAAUUAGCUACAAGUUGAUUUUGACAUUUAUGUUACUUUUUUUCUAAGAUUAGGCCUAAGGUCUUACUCAACUAUCAUUUGAAGCAACUAGCAAGCAAGCUAUUAUGAUUCACUAAUUUGACAGCUGAACUCACUUAUAUAAAAACAAAAAGGAGGUUCUGUUUUUGUUAUAUAUAUUUUCCUACCCAC